rnacentral:tRNA from 1 species
CGCGGGAUGGAGCAGAGGUAGCUCGUUGGGCUCAUAACCCAAAGGUCGUAGGUUCGAAUCCUGCUCCCGCCACUA